rnacentral:rRNA from 1 species
GACGAACGCUGGCGGCAUGCCUAACACAUGCAAGUCUAGGGGUAGCAAUACCACUGGCGCACGGGUGAGUAACACGUAGGUUAUCUGCCCCCAUCACAGACAUAACCCCGGGAAACCGGGGCUAAUAUCUGGAUGAGGUCGCGAGAUCAAAGCUUCGGCGGAUGGGGAUGAGCCUGCGGCUGAUUAGCUAGUUGGUGAGGUAAUGGCUCACCAAGGCGACGAUCAGUAGCUGGUCUGAGAGGACGAACAGCCACACUGGAACUGAGACACGGUCCAGACUCCUACGGGAGGCAGCAGUGAGGAAUAUUGGUCAAUGGGAGCAAUCCUGAACCAGCAAUGCCGCGUAUGGGAUGACAGGGCUUCGCCCUGUAAACCACUGUCGGACGGGACGAAAGGAGGCCUCGGGCCUCUGGGACGGUACCGUCAAAGGAAGGGUCGGCUAACUACGUGCCAGCAGCCGCGGUAAU